CACCCGUACCCAUUCCGAACACGGAAGUUAAGCCCACCAGCGCCGAUGGUACUUGGGACGAGUGUCCCCGGGAGAGUAGGUCGCCGCCGGAU
rnacentral:rRNA from 1 species